rnacentral:rRNA from 1 species
GCAUUUGUCGAACUGUGACUGGCUAGACGACGUUGGCGGCGUGGAUUAGGCAUGCAAGUCGAACGAAUCCUAGCUGUGUAGCAAUACAUGGCUGGGGGAAGUGGCGAAAGGGGCAGUAAGGCGUGGGUAACCUACCUCCGGGACGUGGAUAGCCAUUCUAACGAGUGGGUAAUACGCGGCGAUUUGAUUGAGGGGCAUCCCUUGGUCAGGAAAUGAAUUUCGCCUGGAGAGGGGCUCACGUGAUAUUAGCUAGUUGGUAGGGUAACGGCCUACCAAGGCAAAGAUGUCUAGCGGGUGUGAGAGCACGACCCGCGCCACUGGCACUGAGACACUGGCCAGACACCUACGGGUGGCUGCAGUCGAGGAUCUUUGGCAAUGAGCGCAAGCUUGACCAAGCGACGCCGCGUGUGCGAUGAAGGCCUUCGGGUUGUAAAGCACUGUCGAGGGGAAGGAAGCCGCAAGGUUGACCGAUCCCUGGAGGAAGCACGGGCUAAGUUCGUGCCAGCAGCCGCGGUAAGACGAACCGUGCGAACGUUGUUCGGAAUCACUGGGCUUAAAGGGCGCGUAGGCGGCUUGCCAAGUCAGUGGUGAAAUCCUGCAGCUUAACUGCAGAAGUGCCUUUGAUACUGGCGAGCUCGAGGGAGGUAGGGGUAUGUGGAACUUCUGGUGGAGCGGUGAAAUGCGUUGAUAUCAGAAGGAACGCCGGUGGCGAAAGCGACGUACUGGACCUCUUCUGACGCUGAGGCGCGAAAGCUAGGGGAGCAAACGGGAUUAGAUACCCCGGUAGUCCUAGCCCUAAACGUGGUACUAGGUUGUGGACUACAUGGGUUCACAGCCGAAGCAAAGUGUUAAGUACCCCGCCUGGGGGAGUAUGGUCGCAAGGCUGAAACUCCAA